rnacentral:rRNA from 1 species
UCUCGGGUGGCUGCAGUGGGGAAUAUUGGACAAUGGGCGAAAGCCUGAUCCAGCCAUGCCGCGUGUGUGAAGAAGGCCUUCGGGUUGUAAAGCACUUUCAGUGGGGAAGAAAGCCUUGGGGCUAAUACCCUCGAGGAAGGACAUCACCCACAGAAGAAGCACCGGCUAACUCCGUGCCAGCAGCCGCGGUAAUACGGAGGGUGCGAGCGUUAAUCGGAAUUACUGGGCGUAAAGCGCGCGUAGGCGGUCUGAUAAGCCGGUUGUGAAAGCCCCGGGCUCAACCUGGGAACGGCAUCCGGAACUGUCAGGCUAGAGUGCAGGAGAGGAAGGUAGAAUUCCCGGUGUAGCGGUGAAAUGCGUAGAGAUCGGGAGGAAUACCAGUGGCGAAGGCGGCCUUCUGGACUGACACUGACGCUGAGGUGCGAAAGCGUGGGUAGCAAACAGGAUUAGAUACCCCAGUAGUC